CCAUUUUAUAUAAAAGCGUCAAAGAUUAACUUCUAAUUAUUAGAAAUUCCUUAGACAAAUUUAAAACCUACCCCAAUACUGAAUAAUUCUAUAUUUUUAUGGAAAAUAUAAUGUUAAAACUAGUAACAAGAAGUUAACCUUCUUUAAAAUGUAAAUGUAAGUCAGGACGGACACCACACUGACAAUUUACAAUCCUAAACUACAGUAAUAACCUCACCCAAGAAAACCUUACUGAUACACUUGUUAAUCUAACACAAGAACAUUUAAAGAAAGACUAAAAGAAAAAGAAGGAAUUCGGCAAAAGCUGAUUCCGCCUGUUUACCAAAAACAUCGCCUCUUGGUUCAAAUAAAUAUAAGAGGCUCCGCCUGCCCAGUGACAUGUUUAACGGCCGCGGUAUCCUAACCGCGCGAAGGUAGCGUAAUCACUUGUUUUUUAAUUAAAGACCUGUAUGAAAGGCAUCACGAGAAUCAUACUGUCUCCUUUAUUCAGUCAGUGAAACUAAUCCUCCCGUGAAAAAGCGGGAAUUCUAAUACAAGACGAGAAGACCCUUUGGAGCUUAAGACACUAUUAGUAUACAGCCUACUUAUUUUACCUUACACAUAAUUGCCUACUACCUAAGAGUCUUGGGUUGGGGCAACCACGGAGUAAAAACUAACCUCCACGCUGAACGGAAUUUUCCUAAACAAAAAGCCACAACUUUAUGUAUCAAAAAACUGACACCAUUAGACCCAAUAUUUUGAUUAACGAACCAAGUUACCCUAGGGAUAACAGCGCAAUCCACUUCGAGAGUUCAUAUCGACAAGUGGGCUUACGACCUCGAUGUUGGAUCAAGGUACCCUGGUGGUGCAGCC
rnacentral:rRNA from 1 species